GCCAUCUCCCUGUCCCCAAGACUCCAGCUUUUAUUCUAAGGAAAAUGGCAUUACAAGGAACACUAUCCGGCUGACAUUUUAGUUGUUUUGGCUGCUGUAACUGACUACUGUGGAGCAACAGAAGAAGCAGGAAGACAAGUCAAGAAGCCAUAAUAGCCGGGGCCAGCCGACAAGGACCUGGGUAUCAUCGCAGGUUGCAACCUCCACUGUAGAGAAGAGUCAGCAAGCACACUCACUGUCCAUCUUGCAGUUUAUAUGAUUGUGAAACGGCAGUGUCUCUCUCUACUGAGGUAAUCUUCCUCCAGAGUCAUUGAACAAUAACUAGAGCUAUUUUGUCACAGCUAGCUUGGAGGCUAGGUGGUAAGUAGACACCAGGACACCUUUAAAGAUCCUACAGUACAUGGGCAGUCUUCUAUCCCUCCAACAAGUAUAUUUCCAGCUUAUAUUUUUCAAGACUG
rnacentral:lncRNA from 1 species